rnacentral:rRNA from 1 species
ACGCUGGCGGCAUGCCUUACACAUGCAAGUCGAACGGUAACAGGUCUUCGGAUGCUGACGAGUGGCGAACGGGUGAGUAAUACAUCGGAACGUGCCCAGUAAUGGGGGAUAGCUCGGCGAAAGCCGGAUUAAUACCGCAUACGCCCUGAGGGGGAAAGUGGGGGAUCGCAAGACCUCACGUUAUUGGAGCGGCCGAUGGCUGAUUAGCUAGUUGGUAGGGUAAAGGCCUACCAAGGCGACGAUCAGUAGCUGGUCUGAAAGGACGAUCAGCCACACUGGGACUGAGACACGGCCCAGACUCCUACGGGAGGCAGCAGUGGGGAAUUUUGGACAAUGGGGGAAACCCUGAUCCAGCAAUGCCGCGUGUGCGAAGAAGGCCUUCGGGUUGUAAAGCACUUUUGUCAGGGAAGAAAUCCUUUGGGCUAAUACCCUAGGGGGAUGACGGUACCUGAAGAAUAAGCACCGGCUAACUACGUGCCAGCAGCCGCGGUAAUACGUACGGUGCAAGCGUUAAUCGGAAUUACUGGGCGUAAAGCGUGCGCAGGCGGUUGUGUAAGACAGGUGUGAAAUCCCCGGGCUUAACCUGGGAAUUGCAUUUGUGACUGCACGACUAGAGUGUGUCAGAGGAGGGUGGAAUUCCACGUGUAACAGUGAAAUGCGUAGAUAUGUGGAGGAACACCAAUGGCGAAAGCAGCCCCCUGGGAUAACACUGACGCUCAUGCUCGAAAGCGCGGGGAGCAAACAGGAUUAGAUACCCUGGUAGUCCACGCCGUAAUCGAUGUCAACUAGUUGUUGGGGAUUCACUUCCUUGGUAACGUGGCUAACGCGUGAAGUUGACCGCCUGGGGAGUACGGCCGCAAGGUUAAAACUCAAAGGAAUUGACGAGGACCCGCACAAGCGGUGGAUGAUGUGGAUUAAUUCGAUGCAACGCGAAAAACCUUACCUACCCUUGACAUGGCAGGAACUUUCCAGAGAUGGAUUGGUGCUCGAAAGAGAACCUGCACACAGGUGGUGCAUGGCUGUCGUCAGCUCGUGUCGUGAGAUGUUGGGUUAAGUCCCGCAACGAGCGCAACCCUUGUCAUUAGUUGCUACGAAAGGGCACUCUAAUGAGACUGCCGGUGACAAACCGGAGGAAGGUGGGGAUGACGUCAUGUCCUCAUGGCCCUUAUGGGUAGGGCUUCACACGUCAUACAAUGGUCGGUACAGAGGGUUGCCAAGCCGCGAGGUGGAGCCAAUCCCAGAAAACCGAUCGUAGUCCGGAUCGCAGUCUGCAUCUCGACUGCGUGAAGUCGGAAUCGCUAGUAAUCGCGGAUCAGAAUGCCGCGGUGAAUACGUUCCCGGGUCUUGUACACCCCGCCCGUCACCCCAUGGGAGUGGGUUCUACCAGAAGUGGCUAGUCUCCCCGAAAGGAGGCCGGUCCCCUCGGUGGGGUUCAU